CACUCAGGUUUCUUUUAGACGAAUAAAUCUUUCGCUUUUUACUAAAGAUUUCCGUGUAUGAGUAAGUAAUAUGAAGUUAAUGUUAAUCAAGGUUUAUUUAUAGGUUAUGUUUGUACCGUA
rfam:Solenopsis invicta Si_gnG.contig83952, whole genome shotgun sequence.